rnacentral:rRNA from 1 species
CAGCGUCACGAGUGGCAACCACAAUUAUUGGGUCUAAAGCGUCUGUAGCUUGUUUAGCUAGUUCUUUGUGAAAUCAUUAGAGUCAACUUAAUGGCGUGCAAAGAAUACUGGUUAGACUUGGGACUGGGAGAAGUUAGAGGUAUUCCAGGGGAAGCGGUAAAAUGUUAUAAUCCCUGGAGGACCACCAAUGGCGAAGGCAUCUAACUAGAACAGGUCCGACGGUGAGAGACGAAAGCUAGGGGAUCAAACCGGAUUAGAUACCCGUGUAGUCC